ACAGGACGAUUAUAAGCCUUCACCAGGCUACAUCACUUGGAGUGUCUUCAGUUGACUUAGAGUGACACACCACCACUGAGCAGUGUCCCUCCACAGAUGACCCCUCAGUGCCACAGGCGGAUGGUGGCAUCAGCCCCAGAGGUGAAGAGGAAGGGCUCGUAGGGGUGCCAGGUGACGUCCAACACACACAGGUCCUCAAAGCGGGAAUGUCCUCGCAGCUCCUUCAGGGGUACCAGGAAAGGGUCCUUCAGCCAAUCACUGAAACCAAGCCCUGUACAAGCCAAUGGUAUCAAGACUUACUCAUACACCAUCCCAUGAGACACGAUGAUCCUUCCUUCGUCCGACACCGAGGCAAACAGUGGAUAUUUGCGGUGGAAGGCAACUCCACGAAUUGCUCCCUUGUGGAACCUCAGUGCAUGAGGUGUCCUAGUGCACUCCAUCUCAAACCUGCAAGAUACACGGCAAGAUCAAUAUUAUUCUCCUAAUGAUGCAAUUAAGAGAAACAAAGGAUAUAGGGAUACUUCACCAGACCUAUGAAAGGAAGUCUCCAGCAUAUCCACAGCUUUUUAUCCUACCCUGCCAUACAGAUUCAGCUGCAACCGGUCAGAAAUUUUUGUAAUCUUACUACGGACUGAUUUAUAUAGGUGAAGAAGUCUGUCUGGAAGCCUGUCUCCCAUCCCAUACAGCAGCUUACACCCAAUACAAGUUAAAAGCUUCUUUCCUCUACCUCCAUUAGUUUAUGCAAUAAUUACUUGGCUUCUGAUGACUGGACAAGAAUAACUGCAGAUUGAGAGAAUGUCAGUUACAGUCAUGAAACUGUUUAAAAGGUUUACACUAAUUUUUAAUGGAAUUAUCACACCACAAACUGAAAUACAGUGAUAUGUAAUGGAGAAAGUUUUCAUGAGCAUGAUGUCAUUGUCAAAUUUUAAGUAAUACAUUGAAUAGGGGCACUAAGCAACUUUUCGUACUGAGAUGUUGCUGCAAGAUAGCUGGUGAGUGCCAUCUCACAGCAUUAGUUCUCAUAGUGCCAUAUUACCACUGCCUUGUGCCAACAGCUUGGCGUAAAAAAAAAAAAGCAGCCUUCUGCCCUUCCUUUAAACUACCAAAAAUGUGACAACACCAAUGUGUUUGGGACAACUUCCAACUUCCUCUAUCACAUACCAACUAUUUUCAUUUGUGUUAUAUUAAAAUAACUGCAGCACAAGACAAAAAGCAAUAAACAUUUGUUAUUCA